GUUUGAUCAUGGCUCAGAUUGAACGCUGGCGGCAGGCCUAACACAUGCAAGUCGAACGGUAACAGGAAACAGCUUGCUGUUUCGCUGACGAGUGGCGGACGGGUGAGUAAUGUCUGGGAAACUGCCUGAUGGAGGGGGAUAACUACUGGAAACGGUAGCUAAUACCGCAUAACGUCGCAAGACCAAAGAGGGGGACCUUCGGGCCUCUUGCCAUCAGAUGUGCCCAGAUGGGAUUAGCUAGUAGGUGGGGUAACGGCUCACCUAGGCGACGAUCCCUAGCUGGUCUGAGAGGAUGACCAGCCACACUGGAUCUGAGAUACGGUCCAGACUCCUACGGGAGGCAGCAGUGGGGAAUAUUGCACAAUGGGCGCAAGCCUGAUGCAGCCAUGCCGCGUGUAUGAAGAAGGCCUUCGGGUUGUAAAGUACUUUCAGCGGGGAGGAAGGGAGUAAAGUUAAUACCUUUGCUCAUUGACGUUACCCGCAGAAGAAGCACCGGCUAACUCCGUGCCAGCAGCCGCGGUAAUACGGAGGGUGCAAGCGUUAAUCGGAAUUACUGGGCGUAAAGCGCACGCAGGCGGUUUGUUAAGUCAGAUGUGAAAUCCCCGGGCUCAACCUGGGAACUGCAUCUGAUACUGGCAAGCUUGAGUCUCGUAGAGGGGGGUAGAAUUCCAGGUGUAGCGGUGAAAUGCGUAGAGAUCUGGAGGAAUACCGGUGGCGAAGGCGGCCCCCUGGACGAAGACUGACGCUCAGGUGCGAAAGCGUGGGGAGCAAACAGGAUUAGAUACCCUGGUAGUCCACGCCGUAAACGAUGUCGACUUGGAGGUUGUGCCCUUGAGGCGUGGCUUCCGGAGCUAACGCGUUAAGUCGACCGCCUGGGGAGUACGGCCGCAAGGUUAAAACUCAAAUGAAUUGACGGGGGCCCGCACAAGCGGUGGAGCAUGUGGUUUAAUUCGAUGCAACGCGAAGAACCUUACCUGGUCUUGACAUCCACGGAAGUUUUCAGAGAUGAGAAUGUGCCUUCGGGAACCGUGAGACAGGUGCUGCAUGGCUGUCGUCAGCUCGUGUUGUGAAAUGUUGGGUUAAGUCCCGCAACGAGCGCAACCCUUAUCCUUUGUUGCCAGCGGUCCGGCCGGGAACUCAAAGGAGACUGCCAGUGAUAAACUGGAGGAAGGUGGGGAUGACGUCAAGUCAUCAUGGCCCUUACGACCAGGGCUACACACGUGCUACAAUGGCGCAUACAAAGAGAAGCGACCUCGCGAGAGCAAGCGGACCUCAUAAAGUGCGUCGUAGUCCGGAUUGGAGUCUGCAACUCGACUCCAUGAAGUCGGAAUCGCUAGUAAUCGUGGAUCAGAAUGCCACGGUGAAUACGUUCCCGGGCCUUGUACACACCGCCCGUCACACCAUGGGAGUGGGUUGCAAAAGAAGUAGGUAGCUUAACCUUCGGGAGGGCGCUUACCACUUUGUGAUUCAUGACUGGGGUGAAGUCGUAACAAGGUAACCGUAGGGGAACCUGCGGUUG
rnacentral:rRNA from 1 species